CGAACGGGUGAGUAACACUGGGCAACCUGCCCAAAAGAGGGGGAUAACACUUGGAAACAGGUGCUAAUACCGCAUAACCAUAGUUACCGCAUGGUAGCUAUGUAAAAGGUGGCUAUGCUACCGCUUUUGGAUGGGCCCGCGGCGCAUUAGCUAGUUGGUGGGGUAAAGGCUUACCAAGGCAAUGAUGCGUAGCCGAACUGAGAGGUUGAUCGGCCACAUUGGGACUGAGACACGGCCCAAACUCCUACGGAAGGCAGCAG
rnacentral:rRNA from 1 species